UACGUAGGGGGCGAGCGUUGUCCGGAUUUAUUGGGCGUAAAGAGCGUGUAGGCGGCCAGGUAGGUCUGCUGUGAAAACUCGAGGCUCAACCUCGAGACGUCGGCGGAAACCAUCUGGCUAGAGUCCGGAAGAGGAGAGUGGAAUUCCUGGUGUAGCGGUGAAAUGCGCAGAUAUCAGGAAGAACACCCGUGGCGAAGGCGGCUCUCUGGGACGGUACUGACGCUGAGAAGCGAAAGCAUGGGGAGCGAACAGG
rnacentral:rRNA from 1 species